GAGCAAGGAAAGCUCGCCCCGAAUUGGGAAGGGCCAUAUCAAAUCGCCCGAGUACAACGACCCGGAGCAUACAAAUUGAAGUCCCUAGAGGGGACCCUGAUCCCGCGAAGCUGGAACUCCGAGAAUCUACGAAUGUACUACCAGUAAAACCCCGAGGGGUUCAAGACAAUCAGGGCAAUAGACUCAGCCUCUUUUCUGCAAAUAAUUCUUCCAUCUUGAUAAUCAUAAUUCUUUUCUAAUGUUGGGUCGUCUGUGAUCCCCAGAUCCCCCGACCGAAAUCGGGAUGCCUCGAGGUUCGACCGUAGAGUCCCAAACUCCCUCGACCUCGGGAAGUAUUGCAGGACGAUGAAACAUCGACUUGGCGCAAGAUUCCCUCGACUAAGGUCGGGAUGCCCCGAGGGUCGACCGUAGAGUCCCAAACUCCCUCGACCUCGGGAAGCGUCGCAGGUCGAUAGCGCGUGCCCAGACCCAUCGACCUGACGAACGAUCCCUCGACUAAGGUCGGGAUGCCCCGAGGGUCGACCGUAGAG
rnacentral:lncRNA from 1 species